AUCGCUUCUCGGCCUUUUGGCUAAGAUCAAGUGUAAUAAUUUCUAUUUCUCCUCAUCAUCAUGUUGUUUAUCACAAACACAUAUGCACAGAUACAUGUGCACACACUGCUGGGUGUUUGUAAAGUUAUAUAGAAUUCUGCAUUUAAUUGAGAUGUAUCUUAACACA
rnacentral:snRNA from 1 species